GCUUCUCUUCACCACACACCUUCAUUAAGACACAAAACAAACAAAUAAUAGAAUAUCUCAGUAACAAUGGUGGACGAGGUGAUUCUUCUGGAUUACUGGCCGAGUUUGUUCGGAGUGAGGACGAGGAUUGCUCUAGAGGAGAAAAACAUAAAAUUCGAUUACAUAGAACAAGAUCUGUGUAAUAAAAGUGCCUUGCUCCUCGAGAUGAACCCGGUUCAUAAGAAAAUACCGGUUCUCAUCCACAAUGGCAAACCGGUCUGUGAAUCUCUCAUCCAGGUCGAAUUCAUUGACGAGACUUGGCCAAAGGCGAACCCCCUCCUUCCUUCUGAUCCUUACCAAAGAGCUCAGGCCAGGUUUUGGGGAAAUUUCAUCGACCAAAUGCUGCCCGGUCUAGGGAAAUUGAUGUGGGGAGCGAACGGUGAGGAGCAAGAGGAGGGGAAGAAGGAGUUCGUAGAGAUGCUCAAGACGGUAGAGUCCGAGCUUGGAGACAGGACUUACUUUGGAGGCGAAACAUUUGGUUAUGUGGACAUAGCUCUGAUUGGAUACUACUGCUGGUUCGACGCUUUUGAGAAGUAUGGGAAUUUUAGCAUCGAAGCAGAGUGUCCUAAAAUUAUUGCUUGGGCUAAAAGGUGUGUGAAGAGAGACAGUGUGGCUAAGUCUCUUCCUGAUUCAGAGAAGGUCACUGAGCUCGUUCCUGAGCUAAAGAAGAAAAAACGGGUCGAGUAGAUCGGUCAUUUUUAUGUUUUGUUUUUGCUAUGCUUCAAGCCAUCAUAAUAAUACAAUCAUUCUGCGAGGUGGUUUGGGUAAUAAGAGCAUGUUUCAUCUUUGUUUCAUUACGAUAAAUGCUUGGGGAAAGAAGGCAAGAAGAUUCUGAUUUAUCGAGUGUAGACAUUUAACAUAUUGAAGACCGUUAGUUAUUAA